rnacentral:rRNA from 1 species
GACGAACGCUGGCGGCGUGCCUAAUACAUGCAAGUAGAACGCUGAAGGAGGAGCUUGCUUCUCUGGAUGAGUUGCGAACGGGUGAGUAACGCGUAGGUAACCUGCCUGGUAGCGGGGGAUAACUAUUGGAAACGAUAGCUAAUACCGCAUAAUAGCAGUUGUUGCAUGACAACUGUUUGAAAGGUGCAAUUGCACCACUACCAGAUGGACCUGCGUUGUAUUAGCUAGUUGGUGGGGUAACGGCUCACCAAGGCGACGAUACAUAGCCGACCUGAGAGGGUGAUCGGCCAAACUGGGACUGAGACACGGCCCAGACUCCUACGGGAGGCAGCAGUAGGGAAUCUUCGGCAAUGGACGGAAGUCUGACCGAGCAACGCCGCGUGAGUGAAGAAGGUUUUCGGAUCGUAAAGCCCUGUUGUAAGAGAAGAACGAGUGUGAGAGUGGAAAGUUCACACUGUGACGGUAUCUUACCAGAAAGGGACGGCUAACUACGUG